UACGGGGGGGGCAAGCGUUGUUCGGAAUUACUGGACGUAAAGGGCUCGUAGGCGGCCCACUAAGUCAGACGUGAAAUCCCUCGGCUUAACCGGGGAACUGCGUCUGAUACUGGAGGGCUUGAGUUCGGGAGAGGGAUGCGGAAUUCCAGGUGUAGCGGUGAAAUGCGUAGAUAUCUGGAGGAACACCGGUGGCGAAGGCGGCAUCCUGGACCGACACUGACGCUGAGGAGCGAAAGCCAGGGGAGCAAACGGG
rnacentral:rRNA from 1 species